rnacentral:rRNA from 1 species
AGGACGAACGCUGGCGGCGUGCUUAACACAUGCAAGUCGAGCGGAAAGGCCCGCUUGCGGGUACUCGAGUGGCGAACGGGUGAGUAACACGUGGGCAACCUGCCCUCAGCUUCGGGAUAACACUUGGAAACAGGUGCUAAUACCGGAUAAUAACCUUUCAUCGCAUGGUGGUUGGUUCAAAGUUUUUCGGCUGAGGAUGGGCCCGCGGCCUAUCAGCUUGUUGGUGGGGUAAUGGCCUACCAAGGCGACGACGGGUA